CUUUAGUGGCUCGUCCAACAUAAAUUUUUGCUACCCAAUCCAUGCUUAAAAAAUUUGAUUCACAGAAUUUUCCAAGUUAGGUACCCAUAUAUGACAUCUUGUACAAAAUUUGCCCUUGAACCAAUCAAACGCGACUCGAAAAUAAAGGACACGCAAAACCUCCUCUAUAACUACCUCUUCCUUGGCUCGUCCAAAAUAACUUUUAGCUACCCAAUCCAUUCUUAAAAAAUUCCGUUCAUAGAAAAUUUCCAAGUUAGGUAACCAUACAUGACCUCUUGUACAUAAUUUACCCUAAAACCGACCAAACGCGACUCGAAAACAAAGGACACGCAAAAACUUCUCGAUAACUACCUGUUUCAUGGCUCGUCCAAAAUAACUUUUGGCUACCCAAUCCAUGCUUAAAAAGCCGGUCAAAGAAUUUUUCCAAGUUAAGUACCCAUAUAUGACAUCUUGUAAAAAAUUUGCCCUUAAACUGACCAAACGUGACUCGAUAACUACCUCUUUCGUGGCUCUUCCAAAAUAACUUUUUGCUACCCAAUCCAUGCUUAAAAAUGCCAUUCACAGAAUUUGUCCAAAGUUAGGUACCCAUAUAUGACAUGUUGUACAGAAUUUGCCCUAAAACCGACCAAACGCGACUCGAAAA